UCAGGAGUGAAGCUGCUGUCUGCUGGACUGGAGAGUCCAGACUGUAGACUGAAGACUCUGAGAUGGAAGUGAUCGUGAUCGAGCGUGAGCGAUCAGAAAGGUGAUUGGCUGAGAGCCGAUCGGCUGCGUCCUGAUGAUCCAGAGAGGUUGAAGCAGCAGCAGCAGCUUGUGGGUGGAGAGGCUCUGACUGGGCCAUGUUACUGGGAGGUAGAGUGGAGAGGAGAGUUUCAUCCAGCAGUGACUGACAGAGGAACCACAACAAGUGGAGAUGAGUGUCAGUGCUGCAGUGUGAACUGCUCUGAGAUCAGCUCCACUGUCAGACACAGUGUCCAGUCCAGCAUCCUCCCUGUGUGUUGCUGUGGAUGUGACAGAGUAUCAUCAGUGUAUCUGGACUGCUGUGCUGCUGCUCUGUCCUCCUACACAGUCUCUGCAGACACUCCUCCACUCCUUCUGCUCCUCACUCUCACACCUCCUCCACCUGGAACCUGGAUCUGGACUUUUUCCUGUGCUUUUUUAUUCUUUCAGAUAUUCCGAUCUCAAAGUUCUGAUUCUGACAACAUGACUGUAGAUCAACAUUUAUUUAAACUGUUUUGCUUUCCUUUGCAUUCUCGAGGAAUGAUGUUAAUUGCAGUUAAUUUCCACAUGAUAUUUCUGAUGAAUUUUGGAAGUGGAUGUGAAAAAGCAGCAUCCAGCCUUCUUGUAUAAAGUGGCCUCUCUGAGGUUCUGGAGUGGGUUGCACCAGCUAUGCACAAGCUCAGCCUUAGUCUGAAUGUAAUGUGUAACUUAGUACGGAUUAAUAAUGUUUUCAGGAUUGCAGCAGCUGAAAUUGUUCCAGCAUCAUAAGUUACAACUGAAAUCUUCCACUUUGUCCUGAGUAGUUCUAAAGUCAGCUGCUCGAUCGUGGUUGGCAUGGAGAAUCGUUUUGAAAGGUGGGAUAAUUUGGAGGAUGAGGAGGAGUGAAUUAUAUGAUGGAUUACACCCCUUUGUCAUUCAUGAUGACUUUGAUUUAUUCUGGAGCUUUUGUUUUGCACCAGCAGAGAUGCAGAUGCCGGUUUCCCCACAUCAGAGGACAACAUGAACGACUUUGUAAACAGGAAGAGAUACCACUGAAUCAGCACACAGAUUGAGUGUGAUGCUGACCUUGUUAUUACAAAUCCUGCGAUCAAACGGCACGAACUCCAUCUUUGAUCUGAGAGACCUACAUGCACUCAAAGAGGAGCUCUCGGUCUGGCCGUGCCGGUCAGUGAACUCUGCACUCAUUAACAACACGUUCUUAUAUUUGUGGCUUGGAUAUUAUGUAUGUAUGCUCGUUACUGAACUUCUGCCACUUUUAAACUUUUAGUGUGUCUCUUUUGUUGUGUUUGUGAUCUGUGCUUUCAUUUGUUCACUUGCUGAAAAAUGAAUGAAGUUAAAAACAAAGUGUUGGAUCUAAACAGUCACGUGGAGCUUGAAUCAUUGACGCUUCUCUCAGCUUCAUCUGCUGAUGUCAGCAACAUGUCAUCAUUAUUCUUUAAAUGGAGCAGGCUUUCUUUGCCUUUGAUUCUUUGAUUUCCCUGUUUGACCCACUCACAGAUGAUGUUGGUGUCUUUUGACCUUCAAAGCGUUCAUUUAAUAUGAGUGUGUUGUAUAAUUCUGACUUUUGUCAACAGUAGUGAAACAGUAAAGACCUGUCAGUCAAAUCUGA